AUGAUCGGAGACACUACCGCGUCUCCUAAUACAGCUUCCGCGUGACAUCCCUGUCAUUGCAAUUGAUGAUAAUGAUGAGGUUCGCGUUGCGAGUCCGUCAUCUCUUUGGGCACUAUAGUCUCAUUAGUUUCUGUAUCGUCGAACGAAGAAGUGUGAGAGGAAGAGCCAGUGAUAGAAAAAGAGGAGGCGGAAGAAAAAGAGACGGAAGAAGAGGAGGAAGACAUGGAAAAUGAUAAUGAUAAUGAUAAUG